ACUGAGCACGUUUGCACAAAUGUAAUACCAGGAGAUGGCCUCCAAAUACAAUACCGUCGUUGUCUGUCUACCUGUCAAUAAGGAAUUUAAAAACAAGAAGGGCUCCACGUAUACUUUCGCUUUGUCGUGGUGCUCCAGGACCCUCGCUGUCCUCUGUCGAUCACUUCGCGUCCGCUUUGACAGUUCGUGAAGGCGCCGCCGCUCCGAGGGAGUUCCCAGCUAGUUCCGGGGGAAAGCUUCUGGGGCCACGCCCCUCCCCCCUCUCUCUCUCUCUCUCUCUCUCUCUCUCUCUCUCUCUCUCUCUCUCUCGCACGCGCGGACCGGCUUCGACAGUUCAGCCUCACUCUGGGACGCGCUGGGGGGAUCCGAUGACGUCACCGACAGGCUCCGUUUUUUUCUAUUCUGGGAAGUGGUGCCAGGAAUAACCCUGUCUGUCUCCAGAUCACAGGCUGCCUCUGAACUCUGGCUUUAUCCAAAAAAACUUCGCAGCGGGUUUCCACCCACGAACAGCCCUGCCUUCCUUUCAGAGGGCAAAAGCACUUUUAUCGGAUCCGCAGCGCGGACAGGAGGAUCCUCUCAAUUUUUGUGGGGGGCUAGUUGUGGGCAGCCUCGUGCCUGUCAUCUGUCACUUCGCUGUGAGUUUAGCUCGUAAGAGGAAGGCUGACAGUGUGCGCGCCUGGAUCAUGCAACCGGCUGAGCACGAAAGCGCUUAACGCAAAUGUGACGAAAUGGGUCAGCCAAGCGAGGAUGAGCUCUGAUUAAUUUGGGACUGCUGGCAACAGACAGGUGGAUUCCCCAAGGGGAGGGCCACCCAUUCAUAACAGUAAAGGGACCGCCUCCAUCCUCUGAAAAGCAAGCUGGGAAUUAAAGUCCAGUGCGGUUCAUUUCAUUUAAGUGUGCUCUGUUGUUUGGUG